rnacentral:tRNA from 1 species
GCCGAAGUGGCGGAAUUGGUAGACGCGCCAGACUCAAAAUCUGGUAUGGGUUAACCAUGUGCCGGUUCGAGUCCGGCCUUCGGUACCA